rnacentral:rRNA from 1 species
UACAGAGGGUGCGAACGUUGUUCGGAAUUACUGGGCAUAAAGAGCACGUAGGCGGCACCGCAAGUGUGGGGUGAAAUCCCACGGCUUACCCGUGGAACUGCCUGGCAGACUGCGGUGCUAGAGGUUGGUAGGGGAGAGCGGAACUCUUGGUGGAGCGGUGAAAUGCGUAGAUAUCGGAAGGAACAUCAGUGGCGAAGGCGACUUCCUGGACCAAUACUGACGCUCAGGUGCGAAAGCGUGGGGAGCAAACAGG